CAUAACCCCAGCUCCCCUGCCCAGGUCCUCUGCACUUUUUGAGCCAGCUGAGACUCAUCACAUGCUGCAGCUUACUCAGGGCUGGGGUGUGCUGUUGGCCCCCUGGCCCUGCCAUAACUGAGCUCACUGUGUCUCUGUCUCACUGAGGGCAAGUUUUCUGAGGACCUCUGUCCUCCAGAGAAACUUCAUUGUUUUGUAGAUGCUUGAGAGGGGUUCAAGCCUGCCUGAGGGACCUAACUUGAGCUUAAAUUCAAGAAAGCCAGCCUUGUUUCAGUGUUUCUGCCCUACCAAAAGCAACAAUAGAUCAUCACUGCUUGUCUGAGACCAGGCAUCUAAUUUUUGCAGACAAGGUCUGCCUUCAGAGAGAUCCAAAGGUAUUCAACUGUCUACACUGACUGUAGAGGGAAACUUUCCUUUAGGAGAGCUUAUUCUUCAGUUUCCUGAAAUGUUUGGUCAAGGUAAAAACCUAAGGAUGAAGCCAGAGCGAGGAGAUACUCUGAUGGCCAUUCCACUGUGCUAGCUCAACCACAAAUGUGACUGGGAAGUGGAUGAGGUCUCACAGGAAGCCUGUUUUGAGCUCAAUUUCACAACAGAAGAAGUGAGCUGUUUAGGAGUAAGAAUACCUAAUUUUCUUCAGUGAAUGUCUGAAGACUCUGCUAUAAGACCUUGACAUUCACAGUAUGGAAUGCCUGUCUAUUUGUCCGCCCAUGCUCACUUUAUUUUUUUUUUAAUUAAGUGCUGGUUUGGCCAAGGUAUGCAUUCAUGAAAAGUGCUAAUAAAUCUCUGAUCACCUGGGCUGGCUUUGUUUCACAGACAGCACUCACAGGAGUGCUGAGUCUUCUUCUGUGAGCAGUGACAUUGGCACAAGGAAGAGCAGUUCUCCUUGCCACCAAAAACCAACCUGUCUUCAGAAGGCAAGCGGGUGAGUUCCUUCACUUGCAGCGAGGCUUUGCUUCUUCUCUUCUCCACCAUGCAAGUACUCUCUAAGCCUUCUAUGGUCUGGCUCUAGACCCAACUGCAGUCACAUUUUUCUUCACAGAGUUGAAAUAAAAUUUUACAAGUCAGUUUUGCUUAAGCAGCAGAAUGCUUGGGGGACCAUCCUGGACUCAAGGAGAGGUAUUUCCACUGAGGUAUUAAAACUACUGAAGUAUUAAACUAUUAUCUGAAUAUUUCUGAAAAAGAAGAAGCCUAAGAAAUAUGUAAAAAUCCACUUGCUUUAUUUGUGCAAUAUAUAAUUUGUGAAUUACAUAAAACACAUCUAGGACAGUAUCAGUCCUUGGGGAGGAUAUCUUAGUUCUGCCUCACAGGACUUCCACAUUUAACUUAGGAGUAGAGUGGUAAACCAAAGCUAACACUUUUUUUUUUUUUUUUUUUUUUUUUUUUUGUAAACUAAGACUUCUAUGCUCAAGUCCUAAGUGGUUUAAUGUGGAAAUUCUGAGGGACAAAAAGCAGAAAAAGGAAAGAGCAAUUGUAAAUAAACCCACAAGAAAUAAGGAGGAUUUUGGCAAAGGAGGAUAAAAAGAGAAAGAAACAGAGAAGUGAAAUACGUCUAGUGAGAGAGAAAGAAGGAGUAACUGCAGGGAACACCAGACAUUUCCUACCCAUGGGACCAUGUCAGUGGCUCAGACAGAAGCAGCUGUACUCAGCAGAGACCCAGAUUUGUCUGAGACCCUGGGGCUGUCUUGACAGAAACUAAACCCAACUUUCAAAUGCCAAGCAAAACAGGGUUAGAGAUGAAGAAAGCUUUUUACCUUAAAUGAAAAGCUUUGCCUUAAAUAAAAACUUUCAGAGUUCUCCCUUCUCCUCUACUGCAUGAAAAAUAGAAAACUUUAGCAAUCAAUGGCUGUUGGGCUCUGUUGUCAAGGUCUUGGUUAUAAUGCAGCUUGGACAGCCACGGUGGAUGAGGCCAACGGGGGAUUCAAAUGGAAUGACCUUCUUUUGUUGCAUUUUGGUUUUCAGUUUUUAUUUUAAAAAAGCUCUUUAGCUUAGGUCUCUACCUAGGUUUUUUUUGUAACUGAGGUAUAAAACAGUUUGGCUCCAUCUUAACUGGCCAGCCAAACUGUGUUACAAGGUCAGGCCAUAAACAAAUUUAACAACUGUUGUUAAUUAAAUAGUUAUUGUAGUAUAGAUGGGGUCAAACAAAGGGUAUGUGUGGGAGGGGAGGGAAAGAGAGGGCCUAAGUGGCAAAAGGUGGGGGAAUCUUGGCUCCUGACUCAGAAGGCGUGAACAAGCAAGAACUCUGUGGAAAAGACCUCUGGGACAUAACAAUAACAGUUAGCGUUUCAAAUUUUGGUGCAAAUAUUAAGAAAUUAAUAGCAAAAAACCCCAACCCAUGUUCUCUCAUUUACACUUUCCUAUUAUGUGAAACCAUCUUGGUAAGACUUGGCUUUUCUCCAGCAGAAAUCCUGUAUCUGCCUCUAUCAGUGGUAUCACUUCAAUGACAUAUUAAUGCCUCCCAAUGCCAGGAUGUUGUCCAAGUUCCAGCUGUUUGAAAGAGUUGUUACAGAAUGGGAAUUCCAGUUGGAGAUUUAUAGAACAGCAACAGGAAAAAAAAAAAAAAGGUUACAUUUAAUUUUAAUACUCAGAAAUGUGCUUUCCUUGUCAUGAAAGUGGAACCCUGCCUGCAUGUCUGCAGCCUGCCUUGCAUACUGAUUUUGUGUGUGCCUAGCUAAAACCAGUGCCUGUGAUAUGAUCUGAUUUUGACUGUACAGAAGAAGGUAGGAGGAGCAAAAUUUAUGCUUCAGGUCUGUAAGGCAUUUUAAAGUUAAUCGGGUCCUUUGGGUCUGAUAUAAUUUGUGUAAGAUUGCUGUUGAUGAUUAGAAUAGCUAUUUAAGGUUUUUGUUAAUAGUCUGUUACAUGGACCCAGUGGAAAGAUUCCAAUAGCAGUCUGUUAGUUUUUCCCUGUCACAUUCAGGUUACAGACCCUUCACAGAUGUUGUAAAUAGACAUCAAUACUAAAAGGGAAUAUUACACAAAUUAAAAUCAUAAGUGUGCUCGAAACUGCCAACAUAGACAUUUUGUUAAAAACAUCUGUCACAUAAAAGCAAACAUUUAAGGCCAUUAUAUUUAUAACAAUUGUUUUCAUUUUUAAUAUGUACUACAUAUUUUUCUUUUCUUCUGUUAUUAUUGAUUUGAAUAUUUUUUCUUAGACUUUAAUACUUAUUUUUUCCAACAUUACUUAUGUUCUUGACCAUAUAAACAAUAAUGUGGACUUUUAAUGAAAAGAAAUAAAUCUCAGUGUUUGGAAA